AAUCUCUCACUAAUAAGUAAAAACACUAAAUUCCUCCCUCUCUCUAUGUUCAACCGCCACCUCACCCUUCAUAGGCUCAUAGCCACCGGCCACCGUUCACGGCGUUCAAGCCCUCACACUCUCACGACUCAGAUCUCCUUAUACGCCCAGCCAACCUUAAUUUUAUUUUUCAUUUUCGAUCUUCUACUCGCAUUAGCUCGGCAAAUCGCCAUUCUUUUCGACCUUAAUCUCAGAAGGAAGAUGCUGCACAGCAGCACCAGUUUAUUCUACAUGCAUCUCUAGACAUAGUCCAGGACCUUGCAUGGACUUCCAGUGCUAUAUUCUUCUAAACCCCCUUUAUCUUCCUGGCUCGCGCAUUGCAUCAUCACAUUUUGAUACAAAAGUCCGAGCCCUAGCCAGAAAAUAUCUGUGAAGCGGAAGUUGAAUGCAAAAUGAGCAGAUGCUGCUAUUGGAUGAGACAAACAGUUUUCUUCUCAAGCUUUCUUUGGCUGACAUUUCAGUUUGAAGUCAGGUUAUAAAACAUUCUAGUUUAUACCAGGUCCUGUUAUGGUGUAAUGAUGUAUUGCCCUUUUUUUUUUUCUUAAAAUGUUAAAAAGUAAAACUGUUUAGCCAUCCUUGUAAUUUUGGCAUCUUUGAUAUAAUUGUCUUUUGCAACACAAAAUAAGGUUGUCUUAGGUUUGUAGAAUGACUUCCAUUGUUGAUCUAAGGUUUUGACCGAAACAUACAUGUUAAUUUUCAAAAGAAGAAAGAUUGGUGAGCAUUCCUUUCUCAUUCCUCCA